rfam:Mogibacterium pumilum strain ATCC 700696 genome.
UAAGGUCAUGUUCGUGGUUGAAAGUCCAAGCCAGCUACGGGCAAAGGGAUCCACGUAAGCUGCUGCGGAGACGGCAGUGAUCAUGGCGUAGCUUAGAAGUAAGUCCUCCGGGAAACUCGGGUUAAGGCAAGUGUGGGGUCAAAAACCAGGUCGAGUGGCCUUG